GGAGGAAGGGAGGGGUCCCUCAGCGCAGAUUGCAAGACAGUGCAGGCCAGGCUGAGGGACCCCAUUGGUGCACA
rnacentral:pre_miRNA from 1 species